UGAUGAGGCACCUUCGAUGUAGUAGAAGUAGCGAUGAUGACAAUGAUGGCAACAGAUUAUGAUGACAACAUCAAUGUUGUAGUCAUAAUAAUGAUGGUUUAGUAGAGGCAACUAUAUUAAUAAUAUCAGUGAAAACUAUCAAUUAUAUGGUGAAGAUAACAAUGAUUUCAAUAAUAAUAUGUUGACAGUGGUAAUGUUGGAGAGAAGAUGACGACAAUAUACAGAAAGUAUAGUAAAAGUGGCA
rnacentral:lncRNA from 1 species